AGAUUAAGUUAUUAAGGGCGCACGGUGGAUGCCUUGGCACUAGAAGCCGACGAAGGACGUUACUAACGACGAUAUGCUUUGGGGAGCUGUAAGUAAGCUUUGAUCCAGAGAUUUCCGAAUGGGGAAACCCAGCACGAGUUAUGUCGUGUUAUCGAUAUGUGAAUACAUAGCAUAUCUGAAGGCAGACGCGGAGAACUGAAACAUCUUAGUACCCGCAGGAAGAGAAAGAAAAAUCGAUUCCCUGAGUAGCGGCGAGCGAAACGGGAAGAGCCCAAACCAACGAGCUUGCUUGUUGGGGUUGUAGGACACUCUAUACGGAGUUACAAAAGAACAGACUAGACGAAUCAUCUGGAAAGAUGAAUCAAAGAAGGUAAUAAUCCUGUAGUCGAAAGUUUGUUCACUCUUGAGUGGAUCCUGAGUACGACGGAACACGAGAAAUUCCGUCGGAAUCUGGGAGGACCAUCUCCCAAGGCUAAAUACUUUCUAGUGACCGAUAGUGAACCAGUACCGUGAGGGAAAGGUGAAAAGUACCCCGGAAGGGGAGUGAAAUAGAACUUGAAACCGUGUGCUUACAAGUAGUCAGAGCCCGUUAAUGGGUGAUGGCGUGCCUUUUGUAGAAUGAACCGGCGAGUUACGAUUUGAUGCAAGGUUAAGCAGUGAAUGUGGAGCCGUAGCGAAAGCGAGUCUGAAUAGGGCGUUGAGUAUUUGGUCGUAGACCCGAAACCAGGUGAUCUACCCAUGACCAGGUUGAAGUUCAGGUAACACUGAAUGGAGGACCGAACCGACUUACGUUGAAAAGUGAGCGGAUGAGUUGUGGGUAGCGGAGAAAUUCCAAUCGAACCUGGAGAUAGCUGGUUCUCUCCGAAAUAGCUUUAGGGCUAGCCUCAAGUGAUGAUUAUUGGAGGUAGAGCACUGUUUGGACGAGGGGCCCUUAUCGGGUUACCGAAUUCAGACAAACUCCGAAUGCCAAUCAAUUUAACUUGGGAGUCAGAACGCGGGUGAUAAGGUCCGUGUUCGAAAGGGAAACAGCCCAGACCACCAGCUAAGGUCCCAAAAUAUAUGUUAAGUGGAAAAGGAUGUGGCGUUGCCCAGACAACUAGGAUGUUGGCUUAGAAGCAGCCAUCAUUUAAAGAGUGCGUAAUAGCUCACUAGUCGAGUGACACUGCGCCGAAAAUGUACCGGGGCUAAACAUAUUACCGAAGCUGUGGAUUGUCCGUAAGGACAAUGGUAGGAGAGCGUUCUAAGGGCGUUGAAGCAUGAUCGCAAGGACAUGUGGAGCGCUUAGAAGUGAGAAUGCCGGUGUGAGUAGCGAAAGACGGGUGAGAAUCCCGUCCACCGAUUGACUAAGGUUUCCAGAGGAAGGCUCGUCCGCUCUGGGUUAGUCGGGUCCUAAGCUGAGGCCGAUAGGCGUAGGCGAUGGAUAACAGGUUGAUAUUCCUGUACCACCAUUAUUCGUUUUAAGCGAUGGGGGGACGCAGUAGGAUAGGCGAAGCGUACGAUUGGAUUGUACGUCCAAGCAGUGAGAUUGAGUGUUAGGCAAAUCCGGCACUCUUAAGAUUGAGCUGUGAUGGGGAGAGGAAAUUGUUUCCUCGAGUCGUUGAUUUCACACUGCCAAGAAAAGCCUCUAGCUAGAAUUGUGGUGCCCGUACCGCAAACCGACACAGGUAGUCAAGAUGAGAAUUCUAAGGUGAGCGAGCGAACUCUCGUUAAGGAACUCGGCAAAAUGACCCCGUAACUUCGGGAGAAGGGGUGCUCUUUAGGGUUAACGCCCAGGAGAGCCGCAGUGAAUAGGCCCAAGCGACUGUUUAUCAAAAACACAGGUCUCUGCUAAACCGUAAGGUGAUGUAUAGGGGCUGACGCCUGCCCGGUGCUGGAAGGUUAAGAGGAGUGGUUAGCUUCUGCGAAGCUACGAAUCGAAGCCCCAGUAAACGGCGGCCGUAACUAUAACGGUCCUAAGGUAGCGAAAUUCCUUGUCGGGUAAGUUCCGACCCGCACGAAAGGCGUAACGAUUUGGGCACUGUCUCAACGAGAGACUCGGUGAAAUCAUAGUACCUGUGAAGAUGCAGGUUACCCGCGACAGGACGGAAAGACCCCGUGGAGCUUUACUGUAGUCUGAUAUUGAAAUUCGGCACAGCUUGUACAGGAUAGGUAGGAGCCUGAGAUACGUGAGCGCUAGCUUACGUGGAGGCGUUGGUGGGAUACUACCCUCGCUGUGUUGGAUUUCUAACCCGCACCAUUUAUCAUGGUGGGAGACAGUGUCAGAUGGGCAGUUUGACUGGGGCGGUCGCCUCCUAAAGAGUAACGGAGGCGCUCAAAGGUUUCCUCAGAAUGGUUGGAAAUCAUUCAUAGAGUGUAAAGGCAUAAGGAAGCUUGACUGCGAGACUUACAAGUCGAGCAGGGUCGAAAGACGGACUUAGUGAUCCGGUGGUUCCGCAUGGAAGGGCCAUCGCUCAACGGAUAAAAGCUACCCCGGGGAUAACAGGCUUAUCUCCCCCAAGAGUUCACAUCGACGGGGAGGUUUGGCACCUCGAUGUCGGCUCAUCGCAUCCUGGGGCUGUAGUCGGUCCCAAGGGUUGGGCUGUUCGCCCAUUAAAGCGGUACGCGAGCUGGGUUCAGAACGUCGUGAGACAGUUCGGUCCCUAUCCGUCGUGGGCGUAGGAAAUUUGAGAGGAGCUGUCCUUAGUACGAGAGGACCGGGAUGGACAUACCUCUGGUGUACCAGUUGUCGUGCCAACGGCAUCGCUGGGUAGCUAUGUAUGGACGGGAUAAGUGCUGAAAGCAUCUAAGCAUGAAGCCCCCCUCAAGAUGAGAUUUCCCAACUUCGGUUAUAAGAUCCCUCAAAGAUGAUGAGGUUAAUAGGUUCGAGGUGGAAGCAUAGCGAUAUGUGCAGCUGACGAAUACUAAUCGAUCGAAGACUUAAUCAAAUUUUA
rnacentral:rRNA from 1 species